UACGUAGGGUGCGAGCGUUGUCCGGAAUUACUGGGCGUAAAGAGCUCGUAGGUGGUUUGUCGCGUUGUUCGUGAAAACUCACAGCUUAACUGUGGGCGUGCGGGCGAUACGGGCAGACUGGAGUACUGCAGGGGAGACUGAAAUUCCUGGUGUAGCGGUGGAAUGCGCAGAUAUCAGGAGGAACACCGGUGGCGAAGGCGGGUCUCUGGGCAGUAACUGACGCUGAGGAGCGAAAGCGUGGGGAGCGAACAGG
rnacentral:rRNA from 1 species